rnacentral:rRNA from 1 species
CGUGUAGGCGGUUGGCCAAGUCUGAUGUGAAAGCCCGGGGCUCAGCUCCGGAAGGGCAUCGGAAACUAGCUAGCUGGAGCGCGAUAGAGGAGGGCGGAAUUCCUGGUGUAGCGGUGAAAUGCGUAGAUAUCAGGAGGAACACCGGCGGCGAAGGCGGCCCUCUGGAUCGUUGCUGACGCUGAGACGCGAAAGCGUGGGGAGCAAACA